UACGUAGGUGGCAAGCGUUAUCCGGAAUUAUCGGGCGUAAAGAGCGCGCAGGUGGUUGAUUAAGUCUGAUGUGAAAGCCCACGGCUUAACCGUGGAGGGUCAUUGGAAACUGGUCGACUUGAGUGCAGAAGAGGGAGGUGGAAUUCCAGGUGUAGCGGUGGAAUGCGCAGAUAUCUGGAGGAACACCAGUGGCGAAGGCGGCCUCCUGGACCAUUCCUGACACUCAGACGCGAAAGCUAGGGUAGCAAACGGGAUUAGAUACCCGGGUAGU
rnacentral:rRNA from 1 species